AUUUAAUUAAAGAAUAAAAAUAUAUCCCCAUCAGAUCGACCCUAUUGAUCUAAUUAAACCUCUAAGCCAGUUUUGUCUGAUACAUAGAU
ensembl:snoRNA